UUUACUUCACCAGCGUCAAGCUGAUGUUUAGCAAUCAUGGACCAAGUUUAUCUUUCGUCAAUUGCACAAUUUACGUGCUAAUAAUACUCAUUUUCGUACAGUUUGUGAUCGGAUCGGAUUCGAGGUGUAUUUAUAGUGAUCACAUAAAUGGAAAGCUACAUGAAGAUACAUGAGACAAGAGGUUAACACUCUUCUAUGUGUUACCCUCUAUUAUUAGAUUGUAUUGUUGACACUGAUUUUGUGACCCAAAUAUGGCGAGCGUAGCUUAGCUUGGGGCCUUCCUUGUGCAGUUAUUGCCAUCUUCAUGCCCCAUAAGUUGCUUCUACCAUGCAUGGAAGA